rnacentral:ncRNA from 1 species
ACCGUUUACCAAAAACACAGGUCUUUGCAAAGUCCUAAGACCGUGUACCAAAAGGUCAAGAAAGUUGAGUGACCUAAUGACUAUAUUGCUCGGACUCUCCAAAAAUAUUGUCGUGUGCGUGUCAUAUCCUCCAAAAGUAAUGCACUUUUAGAAGAUCCAACUUGGGUACGGCAGCAUUUUUGGAGAGUCUACGCAACAUCGUCUCAUGAUAAGGGAGCCAGUAACCAAGGCCCCAAUGAACGGCAACUCAACUGUAACUAUAAUAGUUAGGUAGUGAAAUUCCUUGUUGGAUCAGUUCCAACCCGAACUGAAACUUGAA